AAACGAUUGAAGUCAGUCAUGCCGGUGAGAAAUCAGCUCAUAGGCUACUAUGGGUGCACUUUUUCGCAAGGCAGGUUAACAUCGGUUUUUGUUGCGUCAUAAUAAUUGUAGGAAGGUGGC
rnacentral:rRNA from 1 species